GAGGAAGGUGGGGAUGACGUCAAGUCAUCGUGGCCCUUAUGGGCAGGGCUACACACGUGCUACAAUGGCCAGUACAAAGGGUUGCCAACCCGCGAGGGGGAGCUAAUCCCAAAAAGCUGGUCGUAGUCCGGAUUGGAGUCUGCAACUCGACUCCAUGAAGUCGGAAUCGCUAGUAAUCGCAGAUCAGCAUUGCUGCGGUGAAUACGUUCCCGGGCCUUGUACACACCGCCCGUCACACCAUGGGAGUGGGCUGCACCAGAAGCCGGUAGUCUAACCUUCGGGAGGGCGCCGUCCACGGUGUGGUCGAUGACUGGGGUGAAGUCGUAACAAGGUAGCCGUAA
rnacentral:rRNA from 1 species